UUAACACAUGCAAGUCGAGCGGCAGCACGGGGAGCUUGCUCCCUGGUGGCGAGCGGCGGACGGGUGAGUAAUGCAUAGGAAUCUGCCCGGUAGUGGGGGAUAACGUGGGGAAACCCACGCUAAUACCGCAUACGUCCUACGGGAGAAAGCGGAGGAUCUUCGGACUUCGCGCUAUCGGAUGAGCCUAUGUCGGAUUAGCUAGUUGGUAAGGUAACGGCUUACCAAGGCGACGAUCCGUAGCUGGUCUGAGAGGAUGAUCAGCCACACUGGGACUGAGACACGGCCCAGACUCCUACGGGAGGCAGCAGUGGGGAAUAUUGGACAAUGGGCGAAAGCCUGAUCCAGCCAUGCCGCGUGUGUGAAGAAGGCUUUCGGGUUGUAAAGCACUUUCAGCGAGGAAGAAAGCCUGGUGGUUAAUACCCAUCAGGAAGGACAUCACUCGCAGAAGAAGCACCGGCUAACUCCGUGCCAGCAGCCGCGGUAAUACGGAGGGUGCGAGCGUUAAUCGGAAUUACUGGGCGUAAAGCGCGCGUAGGUGGCUUGGCACGCCGGUUGUGAAAGCCCCGGGCUCAACCUGGGAACGGCAUCCGGAACGGCCAGGCUAGAGUGCAGGAGAGGAAGGUAGAAUUCCCGGUGUAGCGGUGAAAUGCGUAGAGAUCGGGAGGAAUACCAGUGGCGAAGGCGGCCUUCUGGCCUGACACUGACACUGAGGUGCGAAAGCGUGGGUAGCAAACAGGAUUAGAUACCCUGGUAGUCCACGCCGUAAACGAUGUCGACUAGCCGUUGGGACCUUUAAGGACUUAGUGGCGCAGUUAACGCGAUAAGUCGACCGCCUGGGGAGUACGGCCGCAAGGUUAAAACUCAAAUGAAUUGACGGGGGCCCGCACAAGCGGUGGAGCAUGUGGUUUAAUUCGAUGCAACGCGAAGAACCUUACCUACCCUUGACAUCCUGAGAACUUUCCAGAGAUGCAUUGGUGCCUUCGGGAACUCUGAGACAGGUGCUGCAUGGCUGUCGUCAGCUCGUGUUGUGAAAUGUUGGGUUAAGUCCCGUAACGAGCGCAACCCUUGUCCUUAUUUGCCAGCACGUAAUGGUGGGAACUCUAAGGAGACUGCCGGUGACAAACCGGAGGAAGGUGGGG
rnacentral:rRNA from 1 species